rnacentral:rRNA from 1 species
UACGUAGGCAGCAAGCGUUGUUCGGAAUUACUGGGCGUAAAGGGCGCGUAGGCGGAUAUCUAAGUCGGGGGUGAAAGCCCAGGGCUCAACCCUGGAAUUGCCUUCGAUACUGGAUAUCUUGAGUACGGGAGAGGUGAGUGGAACUCCGAGUGUAGAGGUGAAAUUCGUAGAUAUUCGGAAGAACACCAGUGGCGAAGGCGACUCACUGGCCCGUUACUGACGCUGAGGCGCGAAAGCGUGGGGAGCAAACAGG